GAUGAACGCUGGCGGCGUGCCUAAUACAUGCAAGUCGAGCGAACAGACGAGGAGCUUGCUCCUCUGACGUUAGCGGCGGACGGGUGAGUAACACGUGGAUAACCUACCUAUAAGACUGGGAUAACUUCGGGAAACCGGAGCUAAUACCGGAUAAUAUAUUGAACCGCAUGGUUCAAUAGUGAAAGACGGUUUUGCUGUCACUUAUAGAUGGAUCCGCGCCGCAUUAGCUAGUUGGUAAGGUAACGGCUUACCAAGGCAACGAUGCGUAGCCGACCUGAGGGGGUGAUCGGCCACACUGGAGCUGAGACACGGCCCAGACUCCUACGGGAGGCAGCAGUAGGGAAGCGUCCGCAAUGGGCGAAAGCCUGACGGAGCAACGCAGCGUGAGUGAUGAAGGGCUUCGGAUCGUAAAACGCUGUUAUUAGGGAAGAACAAAUGUGUAAGUAACGAUGCACGUCUUGACGGUACCUAAGCAGAAAGCCACGGCUAACUACGG
rnacentral:rRNA from 1 species